rnacentral:rRNA from 1 species
CGUAACACGUAUGUAACCUACCCUUAUCAGGGGGAUAGCCUCUCGAAAGAGAGAUUAAGCCCGCAUAACAUUAUUUAGCAGCAUUGUUGAAUAAUCAAAUAUUUAUAGGAUAAGGAUGGGCAUGCGGAACAUUAGCUAGUUGGUAAGGUAACGGCUUACCAAGGCGACGAUGUUUAGGGGAUCUGAGAGGAUGACCCCCCACACUGGUACUGAGACACGGACCAG